rnacentral:rRNA from 1 species
GCAGUUAAAAAGCUCGUAGUUGGAUCUCGGUGAUACUGAAGCCAACCGCUGCUUAGUUGGUUGAGUCUGGCUGCACCUAGCGUGUACGUCGGAUUUGCCGGCUGUGUUAGUGGUGUGGAAGCGGUGUUACCUUUCAGCCAUGUCUGUGGUGCAAUACCCACAGGUGUAAGCAAGUGUCAGGCGGUGCUGUGCUUUCGGUAUGGUCCGUCGGCUCGUUUGCAUGCCUGCGGAUGCCCUUCAAAGGGUGUCUGUUGGCGGAUGGCACGUUUACUUUGAACAAAUUUGAGUGCUCAAACCAGGCCAAUGUUGCCUGAAAAGUUUUGCAUGGAAUAAUGGAAUAGGACUUCGGUUCUAUUUUGUUGGUUUUCGGAUCCGAAGUAAUGAUCAAAAGAGACAGGCGGGGACGUUUGUAUGGUUGCGCUAGAGGUGAAAUUCAUGGACCGUAGCCAGACAAACUAAAGCGAAAGCAUUCGUCAAGCAUGUUUUCAUUGACCAUGAGCGAAAGUCAGAGGCUCGAAGACGAUCAGAUACCGUCCUAGUUCUGACCAUAAACGAUGCCAACUGACGAUCCGUGGUGGUAGUAAAUUAACCUUCCCCACGGGCAGUCACCGGGAAACCUUUAAGUCUUUGGGUUCCGGGGGAAGUAUGGUUGCAAAGCUGAAACUUAAAGGAAUUGACGGAAGGGCACCACCAGGAGUGGAGCCUGCGGCUUAAUUUGACUCAACACGGGAAAACUCACCCGGGCCGGACACUGUAAGGAUUGACAGAUUGAUAGCUCUUUCUUGAUUCGGUGGUUGGUGGUGCAUGGCCGUUCUUAGUUGGUGGAGCGAUUUGUCUGGUUAAUUCCGAUAACGAACGAGACUCUAGCCUGCUAAUUAGUGCACUUGUCCACUGUUCCUGUGUAAGUGGCGUUUCGGCGAUGUUGCCCAUGUUAUCUGCUGCAGUUGUCCACCUGUGUCCUCGGAUGCGGGUGGCGGCUGUAGUGGUUUGGGCGGCGGGUUCGGCGUUUGCUUCCGGGUACGA